rnacentral:rRNA from 1 species
AUUGAACGCUGGCGGCAGGCCUAACACAUGCAAGUCGAGCGGAUGAAGGGAGCUUGCUCCUGGAUUCAGCGGCGGACGGGUGAGUAAUGCCUAUGAAUCUGCCUCGUAGUGGUGGAUGACGUCCGGAAACGGGCGCUGAUACCGCAUACGUCCUGAGGCAGAAAGUGAGGGAUCUUCGGACCUCACGCUAUCAGAUGAGCCUAGGUCGGAUUAGCUAGUUGGUGGGGUAAAGGCCUACCAAGGCGACGAUCCGUAACUGGUCUGAGAGGAUGAGCAGUCACACUGGAACUGAGACACGGUCCAGACUCCUACGGGAGGCAGCAGUGGGGAAUAUUGGACAAUGGGCGAAAGCCUGAUCCAGCCAUGCCGCGUGUGUGAAGAAGGUCUUCGGAUUGUAAAGCACUUUAAGUUGGGAGGAAGGGCAGUAAGUUUAUACCUUGCUGUUUUGACGUUACCAACAGAAUAAGCACCGGCUAACUUCGUG